rnacentral:lncRNA from 1 species
GGCCAUCUUAUCUUUUGAUGACAUCUUUGGAGGCCAACACAUAGAGGCUCAAGACUUGGUCACCUUGAGAAUACAAGAACAUGCAUGGAGGACCCGUUUUGAGCAUAACUUAAAGCAAUCUCGCAUGUGGAAGAUUGCUUGGAGCAUUUAAGAUUGAGGACUCACGAUUUUGGACCUUAAUUAAGGGCAUUUUGGACAUUACACAUGGUGUAUUUACACACCAUGACCGCCCCUCUCAUUAAAGGCAAAGUGGUCUUUUUAUCUUUAUUUGUAAUAUAUUAUAAAUAGGCCCCCUUAGUCUUAUUUUCA